GACGAACUUUGGCGGCGUGCUUAACACAUGCAAGUCGAACGGAAAGGCCCUGCUUUUGUGGGGUGCUCGAGUGGCGAACGGGUGAGUAACACGUGAGUAACCUGCCCUUGACUUUGGGAUAACUUCAGGAAACUGGGGCUAAUACCGGAUAGGAGCUCCUGCUGCAUGGUGGGGGUUGGAAAGUUUCGGCGGUUGGGGAUGGACUCGCGGCUUAUCAGCUUGUUGGUGGGGUAGUGGCUUACCAAGGCUUUGACGGGUAGCCGGCCUGAGAGGGUGACCGGCCACAUUGGGACUGAGAUACGGCCCAGACUCCUACGGGAGGCAGCAGUGGGGAAUAUUGCACAAUGGGCGGAAGCCUGAUGCAGCAACGCCGCGUGCGGGAUGACGGCCUUCGGGUUGUAAACCGCUUUCGCCUGUGACGAAGCGUGAGUGACGGUAAUGGGUAAAGAAGCACCGGCUAACUACGUGCCAGCAGCCGCGGUGAUACGUAGGGUGCGAGCGUUGUCCGGAUUUAUUGGGCGUAAAGGGCUCGUAGGUGGUUGAUCGCGUCGGAAGUGUAAUCUUGGGGCUUAACCCUGAGCGUGCUUUCGAUACGGGUUGACUUGAGGAAGGUAGGGGAGAAUGGAAUUCCUGGUGGAGCGGUGGAAUGCGCAGAUAUCAGGAGGAACACCAGUGGCGAAGGCGGUUCUCUGGGCCUUUCCUGACGCUGAGGAGCGAAAGCGUGGGGAGCGAACAGGCUUAGAUACCCUGGUAGUCCACGCUGUAAACGGUGGGUACUAGGUGUGGGGUCCAUUCCACGGGUUCCGUGCCGUAGCUAACGCUUUAAGUACCCCGCCUGGGGAGUACGGCCGCAAGGCUAAAACUCAAAGGAAUUGACGGGGCCCCGCACAAGCGGCGGAGCAUGCGGAUUAAUUCGAUGCAACGCGUAGAACCUUACCUGGGUUUGACAUGGAUCGGGAGUGCUCAGAGAUGGGUGUGCCUCUUUUGGGGUCGGUUCACAGGUGGUGCAUGGCUGUCGUCAGCUCGUGUCGUGAGAUGUUGGGUUAAGUCCCGCAACGAGCGCAACCCUUGUUCACUGUUGCCAGCACGUUAUGGUGGGGACUCAGUGGAGACCGCCGGGGUCAACUCGGAGGAAGGUGGGGAUGACGUCAAGUCAUCAUGCCCCUUAUGUCCAGGGCUUCACGCAUGCUACAAUGGCUGGUACAGAGAGUGGCGAGCCUGUGAGGGUGAGCGAAUCUCGGAAAGCCGGUCUCAGUUCGGAUUGGGGUCUGCAACUCGACCUCAUGAAGUCGGAGUCGCUAGUAAUCGCAGAUCAGCAACGCUGCGGUGAAUACGUUCCCGGGGCU
rnacentral:rRNA from 1 species